rnacentral:rRNA from 1 species
AUGGGAACGCGAAGAACCUUACCUACUCUUGACAUCCAGAGAACUUUCCAGAGAUGGAUUGGUGCCUUCGGGAACUCUGAGACAGGUGCUGCAUGGCUGUCGUCAGCUCGUGUUGUGAAAUGUUGGGUUAAGUCCCGCAACGAGCGCAACCCGUUAUCCUUUGUUGCCAGCGGUUAGGCCGGGAACUCAAAGGAGACUGCCAGUGAUAAACUGGAGGAAGGUGGGGAUGACGUCAAGUCAUCAUGGCCCUUACGAGUAGGGCUACACACGUGCUACAAUGGCGCAUACAAAGAGAAGCGACCUCGCGAGAGCAAGCGGACCUCAUAAAGUGCGUCGUAGUCCGGAUUGGAGUCUGCAAC